rnacentral:sRNA from 2 species
AUGAUAAUAUUGCCGAAUCCCAUAAGGGUACGGAGGAACCAAGUUUUUGGGGUGAAGCUAUUUAAAAUAGCGGGGACACCUUCUCCCUAACCCGUCAGCUAACUCCGGAGGCGUAGAAGGAGUGGUGUA